CAAAAACAUAGCCUUAUGAAAUUAACAAUAAAAGGUUCCUCCUGCCCGGUGACUUCAUAGUUAAACGGCCGCGGUACCCUGACCGUGNUAAGGUAGCAUGAUAAGUUGCCCUUUAAUUGGGGGCUUGUACGAACGGACUUACGAAAAUACAGCUGUCUCUUUUACAACCUUAGAAAUUGUCUUUUAGGUGAAGAUCCCUAAAUUUUAACACAGGACAAAAAGACCCCGUAGAGCUUCGUCUAUCCUAUCUAUAGUAUAUUUUCUCUUGAAUACAAACACUACAGGUAAAAAUCUUAACUGGGGCGGUUAAGGAAUAAAACCUCCUUUAUAGCACCACUCAUCCUCCCUGGCUUAUACACGCCAACAAAACUGACCCCUCGCCCGGGCACAAAGGAAAAGCUACCUCGGGGAUAACAGAUUUAUCUUUCUUAAGAGUCCCCAUUGACAGAAAGGUUUGACACCUCGAUGUUGGCUUAGGAUACCCAGGUGAUAGCAGCAG
rnacentral:rRNA from 1 species